CCUGACGGUGCGUUGGGAGGUGUUUAGGUGGGCCGGUGUCCCAGCUGUUGUUCACAAGCUGAAAGCACACCCUUCUUAGCUGGCACACACACCAAAGUUAUACAAAACGGGUUAUACUUUGACCAGAUGCUGACCAUAGUAAAAGCCUAGGAUCCGCUCUCAGGGGAACUUGCAGUUCAUCGGGGAGACGGUCAAAUUCGUCACAAUUAGAGGUUAUGAAAUGUUGCUGGUCAGAGCUCUGUGGGUAAGGAAAAACAAAAAGCAAAACCAGAGUUCCCUGGAGAACCAACUAACCCCAGCACUGUGGCAGGAAACUUGUAAGAUGAGCCUGGAGCCAGAAAAUAAGGAAAUGUCUUCAAACCCAGAAAACCAUAUAGUGAUGGAGGAAAGCCAGAGACGUAGGAGCCUGCUGGAAGAGCUCCCAGGCGACACAAGUAGAAAAAUUUUGAAGAAAACAUAAAGUAGUAUUGAUUUACAAUCCAAAGAAUAAAAUUAAUAUCCACGAGUGCGUAGAAGUAAAUAAUUAGAUAAGUCUAUGAUAAGAAGAGAAAACUCCCUAGAGCAGUGUUAAGUCAUUUAUAUGGACAGUCUUCCUCCCAUUCAACAGGAGCAUAACUGCCAGUCUUUGAGUGUGGGGUGGACAGAAGUUUCUUCCAAAGAAGAUGGCAAAUCCAGAGAAGGGACUUUACAGUAAAGAGGCCUCCCAAGCACCACCCUGACCAGAUGACCAGGGUCAACAUUAGCAGUGAUGUCAUAUUGGUGCUAUGUGUCCUUGCUAUGAUGUGACAUU